GCUCUUGACUGCAGUUUCUGAGCGAUUUGUGCAUUUCCUCAAAUUGUGAGUGUGGCCUUCCGGUUGGCUUUUUAAACCUGCACCCAAUUUGGUGGCUUUUUCUCCGAAGAAUAAGCGCCGCGUUGAUUCGAUGGGAUUCAUCGCUACCGCGUUAAAAUCAUAGAGCCAAGGAAGCGGACUUUGAGAUGUGCAGGUGAACAAAAACCGACCGAUAUAAAAAUGGCAAGGGUUCGAAUCCGCCGUCAGCGAAGAGGGCCGAGAGGCCAAUUUCCGACUGAAAUCCGCGAAAAGACACGUUGAAGGUGACGACAGCAACGUAGCGAACGUUGACGCGCUCGCCGCUGCGGCAAUUUGACGAAAAUGAAAGUAAGAAUGGCCGUCGACGGCGGGAAAUGACGUCACGGCGCGAGCCGUGAUUUGCCUGCGCCGGUCACGUGGGCGAACCAAGCACAAGAACGACGAGUUGGGCCGCGGCGUCGAGAGGUCAGUCGCGAUCAUGCAGAGCACCGCCAACUACCUGUGGCUCAUCUCCGACCUUCUGGGUCAAGGCGCCACGGCCAACGUGUACCGCGGCCGGCACAAGAAAACGGGCGACCUGUACGCCGUCAAGGUGUUCAACAACCUGAGCUUUCUGAGGCCUCUGGACGUCCAGAUGCGAGAGUUCGAGGUGCUCAAGAAGCUCAACCACAAGAACAUCGUCAAGCUCUUUGCCGUGGAGGAGGAGUCCAACACGCGUCACAAGGUUCUGGUGAUGGAGUACUGCCCUUGCGGGAGCCUCUAUACCGUCUUGGAGGAGUCGUCCAACGCCUACGGACUUCCCGAGGACGAGUUCCUCAUCGUGCUGCACGACGUCGUGGCAGGGAUGAACCACCUGCGGGAGUACGGCAUCGUCCACCGCGACAUCAAGCCGGGCAACAUCAUGCGCGUCAUCGGCGAGGACGGCCGCUCCGUCUACAAGCUGACCGACUUCGGAGCCGCCCGCGAGCUGGAAGACGACGAGCAGUUCGUGUCGCUCUACGGGACCGAGGAGUACCUGCAUCCCGACAUGUACGAGCGCGCCGUCCUGAGGAAGGACCACCAGAAGAAGUACGGCGCCACCGUGGAUUUGUGGAGCAUCGGCGUCACCUUCUACCACGCCGCCACCGGCAGCCUGCCCUUCAGACCCUUCGAGGGCCCGCGCAGAAACCAGGAAGUCAUGUACAAGAUCAUCACGGAGAAGCCGUCCGGGACCAUCUCGGGUCACCAGAAGUGCGAGAACGGCAAGAUCGAGUGGAGCACCGAAAUGCCCGUGUCCUGCAGUCUGUCCAAGGGUCUGCAGAGUCUGCUGACUCCGGUCCUGGCCAACAUCCUGGAAGCGGACCAGGAGAAGUGUUGGGGCUUCGAUCAGUUUUUCGCCGAGACCAACGACAUCCUGCACCGGGCGGUGGUCUUCGUCUUCAGCCUGCAGCAGGCCACCCUACACCACGUCUACAUCCACGAGUACAACACCGCGGCGCUGUUCCAGGAGCUGCUGUCGCGCCGCAGCAGCAUCCCUCUACACAACCAGGAGCUGAUCUACGAGGGGCGGCGUCUGGUGCUGGAGCCGAACCGGCAAGCCAAGACCUUCCCCAAGACCACCAGGGACAACCCCAUUAUGCUGGUCAGCAGAGAGUCCGUGGCCACCGUGGGACUCAUCUUCGAGGACCCGAGCCCCCCCAAAGUGCAGCCCCGCUACGAUCUGGACCUGGACGCCAGCUACGCCAAGACCUUCGCGGGGGACAUCGGACACUUGUGGAAGACGUCCGAGUCUCUGCUGAUCUACCAAGAGCUGGUCCGCAAAGGAGUCCGCGGUCUCAUCGAGCUGAUGAAGGAGGACUUUGGCGAGGUGCUGCACAAGAAGUCUGCGGUGUUCCACCUGUGCAGCUUGGCCACGCAGACGCUGGAGAAGAACAAGCAGCUGUUGGAGGUCCUCACGCAGGCUAACAUGUUGGCGUCCGAGUACGACGAAGUCGCCGACAUGCACAAGAAAGUCCUCAGGAUCAGCGGCUCGCUGGAGCCGAUCGAACGGAGCGCGCAGGAGCUGAAGUCCAAAUUCCUGCCGGGAGGUCUGCUGAGUGACGCCUGGACGCAGCAAGUGGGGACGCACCCCCAGGACAGGAACGUGGAAAAGAUCAAAGUUCUGCUGGACGCCAUCACGGCCAUCUACCAACAGUUCAAGAAGGACAAAGCGGAGAGACGUCUUCCCUACAACGAGGAGCAGAUCCACAAGUUUGACAAGCAGAAGUUGGUCCUCCACGCCGGCAAAGCUCGCUCACUGUUCACGGAGGAGUGCGCCAUGAAGUACCGCCUCUUCAUCUCCAAGAGCGAGGAGGCCAUGAGGAAGGUCCAACACGGGAGGAAGCAGCUGCUGGCCUUGACGGCUCAGCUGCUCGGCAUCGAGAAGGAAGUGGGCGUGCUGAUGCAGGGGGCGGCCGAGCUGCAGGAGCGGGUCCCUGGCAAAGUUCUUCCAGUGGUGCUGAGCGGUCUGAAGCCUCAAGCGUACCUGAGCCAGAACACGCUGGUGGAGAUGACGCUCGGGAUGAAGAAGCUGAAGGAGGAGAUGGAGGGCGUGGUCAAGGAGCUGGCUGAAAACAACCACUUCCUGGAAAGGUCACAUGACUCGUUUUGCACCAUGAGAUAACGUCGCAACUUCUAAUGCAGGCGAGCCAACUUGGGCCCGGUACACACACACGCACACACACACAGAGAGAGAGGAAACGCUUUGGCCGGUUUUGCGCGUGCUGCGCUCGGGUCGUCUGGAUUCUGUUGCGCUUUGGCGAGAGACUGAAAACUGCCACGGCAGAACUCGAUGGAACAAAAAAAAAAAACCAAGAAGAGGACGCGAAAGCAAGCAAUCGAGUCGGCAAUUUUGAAAUACAAAAGGUUCACAACUGGCUGUGCGUUCCUGAGCUCCGCCGGACUUUAUUUUGAAGGUCCGCUACGACGGGCUGCCCACGUUUCUGAGGUCGUCGAAUGGCCGCGGCGCCGCCGAAAGAUUCGGGACGCUGACGCUGGA